UAAGGAAUAUUGGUCAAUGGAGGCAACUCUGAACCAGCCAUGCCGCGUGCAGGAAGAAGGCCCUAUGGGUCGUAAACUGCUUUUGAACAAGAGAAAACCCCGGUACGUGUACUGGGUUGAUAGUAUUGUUAGAAUAAGCAUCGGCUAACUUCGUGCCAGCAGCCGCGGUAAGACGAAGGAUGCAAGCGUUAUCCGGAUUCAUUGGGUUUAAAAGGUGCGUAGGCGGACUGAUAAGUCAGUGGUGAAAUCUCUCGGCUUAACCGAGAAACUGCCAUUGAUACUGUUAGUCUAGAGUACAGAUGAUGUGGGCGGAAUAUGACAUGUAGUGGUGAAAUACUUAGAUAUGUCAUAGAACACCGAUUGCGAAGGCAGCUCACAAAACUGUAACUGACGCUGAGGCACGAAAGUGCGGGGAUCAAACAGGAUUAGAUACCCUUGUAGUCCCUGAGCGGGCUGGCAAGGCGCAU
rnacentral:rRNA from 1 species